rnacentral:rRNA from 1 species
UACGUAGGGGGCAAGCGUUGUCCGGAAUUAUUGGGCGUAAAGAGCUCGUAGGCGGUCUGUCACGUCGGCUGUGAAAACCCGAGGCUCAACCUCGGGCCUGCAGUCGAUACGGGCAGACUAGAGUUCGGUAGGGGACCACGGAAUACCUGGUGUAGCGGUGAAAUGCGCAGAUAUCAGGUGGAACACCGGUGGCGAAGGCGGUGGUCUGGGCCGGAACUGACGCUGAGGAGCGAAAGCGUGGGGAGCGAACAGG